GUGGACAUAGCUCAGUUAGUAGAGCACUUGCCUAGCAUGCACGAGGCUCUGGGUUUGAUACCCAGCACA
rnacentral:tRNA from 1 species